rnacentral:rRNA from 1 species
CAAGUCGAAAGGGAAAGUGGAGCAAUCCAUGAGUACAGUGGCGUACGGGUGAGUAACACGUGGGUAAUCUACCUCUUAGUGGGGAAUAACCCUGGGAAACCGGGGCUAAUACCGCAUAAGCCUGAGAAGGGAAAGCAGCAAUGCGCUGAGAGAGGAGCCCGCGGCCGAUUAGCUAGUUGGUAGGGUAAGGGCCUACCAAGGCAGAGAUCGGUAGCCGGCCUGAGAGGGCACACGGCCACACUGGCACUGAAACACGGGCCAGACUCCUACGGGAGGCAGCAGUGGGGAAUCUUGCACAAUGGGGGCAACCCUGAUGCAGCGACGCCGCGUGAGCGAUGAAGCCCUUCGGGGUGUAAAGCUCUUUCGUCAGGGAAGAUCAUGACGGUACCUGGAGAAGCAGCUGCGGCUAACUACGUGCCAGCAGCCGCGGUAAUACGUAGGCAGCGAGCGUUGUUCGGAGUUACUGGGCGUAAAGGGUGUGUAGGCGGUUCUUUAAGUUUGGUGUGAAAUCUCCCGGCUCAACCGGGAGGGUGCGCCGAAUACUGAGGGACUAGAGUGCGGGAGAGGAAAGUGGAAUUCCUGGUGUAGCGGUGAAAUGCGUAGAUAUCAGGAGGAACACCGGUGGUGUAGACGGCUUUCUGGACCGUAACUGACGCUGAGACACGAAAGCGUGGGUAGCAAACAGGAUUAGAUACCCUGGUAGUCCACGCCCUAAACGAUGCAUAUUUGGUGUGGGUCAUUCAGUUGAUCCGUGCCGGAGCUAACGCGUUAAAUAUGCCGCCUGGGGAGUACAGUCGCAAGGCUGAAACU